rnacentral:rRNA from 1 species
GUAGGUGGCAAGCGUUGUCCGGGAAUUAUUGGGGCGUAAAGCGCGCGCAGGUGGUUCUUUAAGUCUGAUGUGAAAGCCCCCGGGCUCAACCGGGGGAGGGUCAUUGGAAACUGGGGAACUUGAGUGCAGGAGAGGAAAGUGGAAUUCCACGUGUAGCGGUGAAAUGCGUAGAUAUGUGGAGGAACACCAGUGGCGAAGGCGACUUUCUGGCCUGUAACUGACACUGAGGCGCGAAAGCGUGGGGAGCAAACAGGAUUAGAUACCCUGGUAGUCCACGCCGUAAACGAUGAGUGCUAAGUGUUGGGGGGUUUCCGCCCCUCAGUGCUGCAGCUAACGCAUUAAGCACUCCGCCUGGAGAGUACGGUCGCAAAGACUG